rnacentral:rRNA from 1 species
GUAAAUGUUUUCCAAUGCUAAAUACGGGUGAGAGACUGAUAACGAACAAGUACCACGAGUGAAAGAUGAAAAGGAGUUUGAAAAGAGAGAUAAAGAGUGCUUGAAGCAGAUGGAAGUUGUUAAUGCAUCUUGGUUGGAUGUGGAACAGCUCAAGUUGGUCUACCACUCAACUCAAGGUGCAAACCAACACGGGUUAUUGCAUCGUCACAAGCACAGGUGGAUUACUGCCUGCCAGUUUGUCAUUGAAGUGGUCUAGGAAUGAAGUGUGCACCCUUGUGGCAGGCCAUGUGAACCUACGCACUCGUGGUGUUGGUUGGCAGGCUUUCCAUUCGAUCCAUCUUGACACAUGGACCAAAGAGUCUAACAUGUGUGCGAGUCAGCGGGUUUGAAAACCUGUGAGGCACAAGGAAGCUAACGGGAGAGAUCCCCUCUUUGGGGUGGUACAUUGUCAACCAACCUUGAGCUUAUGUGAAGGGUUUGAGUGCGAGCAUAGCUAUUAGAAUCUGAAAGAUGGUGAAUUAUGCCUGAGCAAGGCGAAGCUAGAGGAAACUCUGGUGGAGGCUCGUAGUUAUACUGACAUGCAAAUCGUUCAUAUGACUUGGGUAUAGGGGUGAAAUACUAAUCGAACCAUCUAGUAGUUGGUUUCCUUCAAAGUUUCCCUCAGGAUAGCUAGAGCUCAUGUGCGAGUUUUAUUAGGUAGAGAAAAUGAUUAGAGGCAUCAGGGGAGUAAUUCCCUUGACCUAUUCUCAAACUUUAAAUAGGUAAGAGGGUGUGGAUGAUCCAUUGUGUUGUGCCUUAGAAUUGAGAGCUCUAAGUGGGACAUUUUUGGUAAGUAGAACUGGUGAUGCAGGAUGAACCAAAAGUCAAGUUAUAGUUCGAAUUGCACACUAACCUAGAUCCCACAAUGGGUGUUGGUUGAUUAAGAUAGCAGGACGGUGGUCAUGGAAGUCAAAAUCUACUAAGGAGUGUGUAACAACUCACUUGCCGAAUCAAGUAGCCCCGAAAAUGCAUGGUGCUGAAGCGUGCAACCUAUACUCGACCAUCAAAGAAAUUGCCUCGCUUUAAUGAGUAGGAGGACGUGGAGGUCAUUGAGAAACCUCAGGCGUGAGCUUGGGUUGAUCAGCCCCUGUUGUAAAUAUUGGUGGUAGUAGCAAAUAUUCAAAUGAGAAGAUUGAAGAUUGAAGUGGGGAAAGGUUGCAUGUGAACAAAACUUGGACAUGGGUUAGUAAAACCUAAGAGAUGGGGAACCAUUGUAUCAAAGGUGCACACUAAACAAGCAUCGAAAGGGAAUCAGGUUAAUAUUCGCAAACCAAGACAUGGCAGCAGGUGGAAAUGUUAGGAAACCUAGAGAUGUCAUUAGGGGCCUUAGGAAGAGUUAUCUUUUCUUUUUAAUAUCUUACCCACCCUAGAAUCGAUUCACUCAAAGAUAGGGUCCAGUAGCUGGAGGAGCACCACAGGUCUUGCAGUGUCUAGUGCACCCUCGAUGACCCUUGAAAAUUUGAGAGACUGAGUACCAUUCAUGCCUGGUUGUACUCAUAACCACAUUACGUAUCCAAGAUGAACAACCUCUAGUCAAUAGAACAAUGUAGGUAAGGGAAGUCGGCAAAACGAAUCUGUAAUUUCAGGAAAAGGAUUGGCUUUGAGGGCUGGGCCUAAGGUUAUACACCCUCAACUUGUGGGCUAUCUGUAGUCUUCCCGAGCUGCUCUCGUGGCAAGGGUAGGUAGUCACAUGUCGAUUGGGCUAUGGGCAUAGAAUUCCACCUACCGGGAGCUUUUCCCUAGGCAUCGAAAAAUUGACUCAAAACUGGUAUAAACAUUGGGAAUCUGACUAUUUAAUUAAAACAAAGCAUUGCGAUGGUCCCUGCGGAUGCUGACGCAAUGUGAUUUCUGCCCAGUGAUAUGAAUUUGAAAGUGAAGAAAUUCAACCAAGUGCGGGUAAAUGGCGAGAGUAACUAUGACUCUCUUAAGGUAGCCAAAUGCCUCGUCAUAUAAUUAGUGGAGUGAAUGAAUGGAUUAACAACAUUCCCAAUGUCCCUAUCUACUAUUUAGAAAAACCAUAGCCAAGGGAAAGGGCUUGGUAGAAUCAGCGAGGAAAGAAGACCCUAUUAAGCUUGACUCUAGUCUAACUUUGUGAAAUGACUUGAGAGGUGUAGAAUAAGCGGGAGCCGUUUUCGGUGCAAGUGAAAUACCACUACUUUUAACAUUAUUUUACUUAUUUCAUGGGGUGGAGACAGGGCAUUGCCCUUGUUUUUGGAAUUAAGGCACAUUUCGACAGGUUGAUCUAGGUGGAUGACAUUGUCAGGUGGGGAGUUUGGCUGGGGUAGCACAUAUGUUAAAAUAUAACGUAGGUGUCCUAAGAUAAGCUCAACAAAAAUAGAAAUCUUGUGUGGAACAAAAGGGUAAAAGAUCAUUUGAUUUUGAUUUUUAGUACAAAUACAAACUAUGAAAGCGUGGGCUAUCGAUCCUUUACAUUUUCAGAAUUUGAAGCUAGAGGUGUCAAAAACCUAUCAUUGUGAAGCAGAAUUCACCAAGUGUUGGAUUAUUCACUCACCAAUAGGGAACAUGAGCUGGGUUUGGACCGUCGUGAGACAGGUUGGUUUUACUCUACUAAUGAACCACAUGGCAAUAAUAAUUCAACUUAGUACAAGAGGAAUUGUUGAUUGACAGAAUUGGUCAUCGCGCUUGGUUGAAAAUCCAGUGGCGUGAACCUAACAUGUGUCGUAUUAUGACUAAAUGCCUCUAAGUGAGGAUCCACACUAGAAGUGGUGCAUGUCUCUCUUCGACUAUAUCUCGAUCCAUAGUAGGGGUGUCGUUUUCUGGCCCCCAGGGGCCCGUGUCAUUUGCAAACCAUGACCAUGAAGCAUCUCAGUCAGGGUAACUUUGAAGUUCAAUUC